rnacentral:lncRNA from 1 species
CCUUUUGGAGCAUUUUUUCUGGGACCCCACCGAAGCCUUUUGAAGGCAUUUUCGGAGAAAACCGAACGAUAUGUCAGCGUAAAUUUGCAUGUUUUCGGGCGCAGACGGGGCCUGGAAACCGGACUUGCCAUAUAAGACCCUCUUGGUCAUCAGUCAAACAACAAGUACAAAUGUGGAUUGCGGCUGUUUCGCAGCUGUAUCACAGAAAUUUUCAUACAUCUAAGCAAAUAUCUAUAUGUUACAUUUUCUCACAUCUAAGCAUAUGCUUAGUUAAACAUGCCCGAGUCAGCUGAUGAUGAGCGCCCAACCAAGGUGCCCCGCAUCUCCCUCGGGAUUCGCGGCUUUUUUAAGGCAUCUGGUAAGCUCCUAUCAUGCAAGUAGUAUAAUAGCGGCGCUAUGAAAGUACCUGGGGAACUGAUGCGGAGUUUACACCUAUGCAGAGAAAUCCCCAGUCGCUUCUUGUAGUAGCUGGCCGCUGAAAAGGCCUCUCGAGAUGCUGGUGGUCGCGCUUCGCGCGUAUUGUAGAGCCGUACUGUGUACC